UGAAGCCGGAAUUGCUAGUAAUGGCAGGUCAGCAUACUGCCGUGAAUACGUUCCCGGGCCUUGUACACACCGCCCGUCCACACCAUGAGAGUUGGGGAUACCCGAAGCCUGUGAGCUAACAUUAUGAGGCAGCAGUCGAAGGUAGAAUCAAUGAUUGGGGUGAAGUCGUAACAAGGUAAC
rnacentral:rRNA from 1 species